UACUUUCUCAUGGACCCCCGAGUUGUGUCUAUUCGUUAACAGCUAGGCCGUCCAUGAGGUCGUA
rfam:Meleagrid herpesvirus 1 strain FC126, complete genome.